ensembl:lncRNA
GUAAGACCAGUCUGAACGAGUGGACCCUAUCGUGUCGCAGAGCUUUUUCAUGCGCAUGUGCAUUUCUUAUUUACCUUUUAUAUUGACGACGUUAUUGUCCAGUUGAAAUAUUAUAGAUCAUUUAGACUACAAAACAACCCGAGGAUUGAAUAUAAACAUCGUUUGACAUAUUUCUAUGAACUUUACGGAUACAAUUUGGAUUUUUUGUCAGAUUGUUUUGAUUGCGUUUGAGCCUGUGGAUUACUGAAGAAAACGAGCUAACAAAAUUGAUGUUUUUGGAUAUAAAGAGACUUCAUCGAACAAAAGGAACAUUUAUUGAGUAAAUGAAUGUCUUCUGAUUGCCUCCAUAUGAAGAUCAUCAAAGGAUUAUCCGCUCCGAUAACCGAGACACCAGACCAGCUUGGCGGCAGAGAGACAAGCCAGCUGAAAUCAGGGGGCAGUAUUUUCACGUCCGGAUAAAUGCAUGCCCAAAUUCAACUGCCUGCUACUCAUCCCCAGAAGAUAUGAUGUGCAUGUAUUAGUAGAUUUGGAUAGAAAACACUCUGACGUUUCUAAAACUAUUUGAAUCGUGACUGUGAGUAUAACAGAACUUAUGUAGCAGGCAAAACCCAGAGGAAAAACCAG